rnacentral:rRNA from 1 species
UACGUGGGGGGCAAGCGUUGUUCGGAAUUACUGGGCGUAAAGGGCGCGUAGGCGGCCUGCUAAGUCGGACGUGAAAUCCCCCGGCUCAACCGGGGAACUGCGUCCGAUACUGGUGGGCUCGAAUCCGGGAGAGGGAUGUGGAAUUCCAGGUGUAGCGGUGAAAUGCGUAGAUAUCUGGAGGAACACCGGUGGCGAAGGCGGCAUCCUGGACCGGCAUUGACGCUGAGGCGCGAAAGCCAGGGGAGCAAACGGG